rnacentral:rRNA from 1 species
CACGUAGGGGGCAAGCGUUGUCCGGAAUCAUUGGGCGUAAAGAGCUCGUAGGCGGCUCAAUAAGUCGGGUGUGAAACCCCCAGGCUCAACCUGGGGACGCCACCCGAUACUGUUGUGGCUAGAGUCCAGUAGGGGAGUGUGGAAUUCCCGGUGUAGCGGUGAAAUGCGCAGAUAUCGGGAGGAACACCAGCGGCGAAGGCGGCACUCUGGGCUGGUACUGACGCUCAUGCACGAAAGCGUGGGGAGCAAACAGG